GGGAUGUUAGUAAAGCAAUUACAUAGUUUUGUCAAAACUAAACCACAAGUGAAAACCUUGUACAUCCUA
rnacentral:tRNA from 1 species